CCCUUAGAUGUUCUGGGCCGCACACGCGCUACACUGAAGGAGGCAGCGUGUACUCCUGGAUCGAAAGAUUUGGGUAACCCGCGAAUCUCCUGCGUGCUAGGGAUUGAGGUUUGCAAUUAUCCUUCAUGAACGAGGAAUUCCCAGUAAGUGCAAGUCAUAAGCUUGCGCUGACUACGUCCCUGCCCUUUGUACACACCGCCCGUCGCUACUACCGAUUGAAUGAUUUAGUGAGGACUUCGGACUGGGACCGAUGCGGCUUUCGGGCUGCGUCGGUAUUCUGGAAAGAUGUCCAAACUGUAUCAUUUAGAGGAAGUAAAAGUCGUAACA
rnacentral:rRNA from 1 species